CAGUAGCCGCGGGAAAACGGAGGGAGCUAGCGUUGUUCGGAAUUACUGGGCGUAAAGCGCACGUAGGCGGCUUUGUAAGUCAGAGGUGAAAACCUGGAGCUCAACUCCAGAACUGCCUUUGAGACUGCAUCGCUUGAAUCCAGGAGAGGUGAGUGGAAUUCCGAGUGUAGAGGUGAAAUUCGUAGAUAUUCGGAAGAACACCAGUGGCGAAGGCGGCUCACUGGACUGGUAUUGACGCUGAGGUGCGAAAGCGUGGGGAGCAAACAGGAUUAGAUACCCCCGUAGUCCCUGUCUCUUAUAC
rnacentral:rRNA from 1 species